AUCCAGCUGAUGAGUCCAAAAUCGGACGGAACGUGCGUCCUAGAU
rfam:Schistosoma mattheei strain Denwood, Zambia genome assembly, scaffold: SMTD_scaffold0004521